rnacentral:rRNA from 1 species
AUCAUUACCGAGUUCUCGGGCUUCGGCUCGAAUCUCCCACCCUUUGUGAACGUACCUCUGUUGCUUUGGCGGCUCUUUGCCGCGAGGAGGCCCUCGCGGGCCCCCCCGCGCGCUUUCCGCCAGAGGACCUUCAAACUCCAGUCAGUAAACGUCGACGUCUGAUAAACAAGUUAAUAAACUAAAACUUUCAACAACGGAUCUCUUGGUUCUGGCAUCGAUGAAGAACGCAGCGAAAUGCGAUAAGUAAUGUGAAUUGCAGAAUUCAGUGAAUCAUCGAAUCUUUGAACGCACAUUGCGCCCCCUGGCAUUCCGGGGGGCAUGCCUGUUCGAGCGUCAUUACAACCCUCAAGCUCUGCUUGGUAUUGGGCGCCGUCCUCUCUGCGGACGCGCCUUAAAGACCUCGGCGGUGGCUGUUCAGCCCUCAAGCGUAGUAGAAUACACCUCGCUUUGGAGCGGUUGGCGUCGCCCGCCGGACGAACCUUCUGAACUUUUCUCAAGGUUGACCUCGGAUCAGGUAGGGAUACCCGCUGAACUUAAGCAUAUCAAUA